rnacentral:rRNA from 1 species
UGGGGAAUAUUGGACAAUGGGCGAAAGCCUGAUCCAGCCAUGCCGCGUGUGUGAAGAAGGUCUUCGGAUUGUAAAGCACUUUAAGUUGGGAGGAAGGGCAUUAACCUAAUACGUUAGUGUUUUGGCGUUACCGACAGAAUAAGCACCGGCUAACUCUGUG